rnacentral:rRNA from 1 species
AGCGAACGCUGGCGGCAGGCCUAACACAUGCAAGUCGAACGAACUCUUCGGAGUUAGUGGCGGACGGGUGAGUAACACGUGGGAACGUGCCGUUUGGUUCGGAAUACUUCAGGGUAACUUGUGCUAAUACCGAAUGUGCUCCUCGGGGGCAAGAUUCAUCGCCAUUAGAGGGGCCGGCGUCUGUUUAGCCAGUGGGUGAGGUAACGGCCGACCAAGGCGACGAUCAGUAGCUGGUUUGAGAGGAAGGCCAGCGACACUGGGACUGGGACGCGGCGCAGACUCCUAGGGGAUGCGGGAGAGGGGGAUCUUGCGCAAUGGGGGGAGGCCUGACGGAGCCAUGCCGGGUGAAUGAUGAAGGUCUGAGGAUAGUGAAGUUCUUUCACCGGGGGCGAUAAUGACGGUACCCGGAGAAGAAGCCCCGGCUAACUUCGUG